rnacentral:rRNA from 1 species
UACGUAGGGUGCAAGCGUUAAUCGGAAUUACUGGGCGUAAAGCGUGCGCAGGCGGUUAUGCAAGACAGAGGUGAAAUCCCCGGGCUCAACCUGGGAACUGCCUUUGUGACUGCAUGACUAGAGUACGGUAGAGGGGGAUGGAAUUCCGCGUGUAGCAGUGAAAUGCGUAGAUAUGCGGAGGAACACCGAUGGCGAAGGCAAUCCCCUGGGCCUGUACUGACGCUCAUGCACGAAAGCGUGGGGAGCAAACAGG